GGGCCUUAGGCUGGUAGAAGUUGCUGCUUUCUUCUCUGUGGGCUCCUUUCUCGUGGAUCUGGACCCCAGGAGUUCCCAGGCAUAGAGAGGAGGGGUGCCAGUGCCAACGACCUCACAGACACAGGUUGUGGAUAGCAGCAGACAUGGAGGUGGAGGCUGGGCGGCCAGUGAUGCUGUGAGUCAGUUCUGCAGGCUGUACGGGAAGCACGGCACCAGUAUCUGCUUCUGGUGAGGACUCAGGAGCUUAAAAUCAUGGUGGAAGCAGGGAGAGCAAGCAUGUCACAAGCACUUAAGCCAAGUGCACAAUCCCAAAAACCUGAUGGCACCACGACCGUCCGGAAUAUCUGGACCCUUGACAAGGAAUACUUUGUGAGGUGAACAGAAUACUUGCCAACAUCACACAGCUACUAAGCGGGCAGAUCAAGGAUCAAACUCCUGCUUCCAACUUCUUCCUGGCCCCUGGACCUUAACUCAAGGCUCAGUUUAGCCUCAGCUGGUGACAGCUGGUGAGUAAGACAUUCAGUUUUUCUGGGUCUCGGUUUUCCCAACUAUUAAAUGACAGGGUUGGAUGCUGAGUUCAUUUCCAGGGCUCCAGGAUCUGCAAAGGCUCCCCCAGUCCAUCUGACCACAAGAAUUACCCAGGCCUGGGGACACUUGUAAGAAUACUCACCUGAACCUGCAGAAUCACAGCUCCAGAAGAUGAACCUGGGAUUCUCAUUCUGUUUAUUUGUUUGUUUAUUCAAGGGUCCCAGGUGAAUCUUAUCACCAAAUAAGUUUUGGAAAUACAUUUCUAAGGGACUCCUUCCCAAAGGAGCUUCCCAG
rnacentral:lncRNA from 10 species